AAUUAAAUGGUGUCUUUUGCUUCAUUCCCACUUCCCUCACUUAGCUUGUAAGCUACCAGAAGGUCAUGUCAUUAUUGAUUUUAAAAUGCUCGGUUAAGGUUCCCAUUCAUCCUACACUUACUAACACAUCUGUAGCAAUGCAACUAACAAAAGUUAGUCUUUGAUCAUACAAUUAUCCCAGCAAACAGCAAAGCAUUCCAAUCACUUUCAGCAUUUCAAAUCCCACUAAUUUCGUACAUACAGCGAUCCAUCAUAGAG
rnacentral:lncRNA from 1 species